rnacentral:rRNA from 1 species
CGGUACGUACUGGCAUUGUUGGUUUCUCCCUUCUGACGAACCAUGAUGUCACUUAUUUGGUGUUGUGGGGAAUCAGGACUGUUACUUUGAAAAAAUUAGAGUGUUUAAAGCAGGCUCACGCUUGAAUACAUUAGCAUGGAAUAAUGAAAUAGGACGUUUGAUUCUAUUUUGUUGGUUUCUAGGAUCGACGUAAUGAUUAAUAGGGAUAGUUGGGGGCAUUAGUAUUCAAUUGUCAGAGGUGAAAUUCUUGGAUUUAUUGAAGACUAACUACUGCGAAAGCAUCUGCCAAGGAUGUUUUCAUUAAUCAAGAACGAAAGUUAGGGGAUCGAAGACGAUCAGAUACCGUCGUAGUCUUAACCAUAAACUAUGCCGACUAGGGAUCGGAUGAUGUUAAUUUUUUAAUGACUCAUUCGGCGCCUUACG